UACGUAGGGUGCAAGCGUUGUCCGGAAUUAUUGGGCGUAAAGAGCUCGUAGGCGGUUUGUCGCGUCUGCUGUGAAAACUCGGGGCUCAACUCCGAGCUUGCAGUGGGUACGGGCAGACUAGAGUGCGGUAGGGGAGACUGGAAUUCCUGGUGUAGCGGUGAAAUGCGCAGAUAUCAGGAGGAACACCGGUGGCGAAGGCGGGUCUCUGGGCAGUAACUGACGCUGAGGAGCGAAAGCGUGGGGAGCGAACAGG
rnacentral:rRNA from 1 species